AUUGUUCUCGACACAACACCCCAUCACGUCUUGUUCGAUUCGGAUGUGCAAUUUCAUUGCUAUUGUGUUGUUUGAUGCUUGCUUCACAAGAGGGAAACCAUGGAUAUAAGUUGAGCUUCCUUUUAAUUUUAUAGUAAUAAUAAUCAUUUGGUUCCAUUUUCUCUGCUGCUAGUAUAGUUUGCUGCUGCAGUAAUCUCAUUGUGAUGAACUUUGCAAUAACCAGUUUUCUCAUUACACUAAUGAUGCAAGGCUUCUCCUGCUGCUGCUGCUGCAUGUCUUCAUCGACUUAGUUCUUCCACAGGGAGAGAUAUAAAUCCUUUACUUGUUCACUUUGUAAUCUGCAGAUUACUUCUUCCAUUAAUCAUCUAGUGCUCCUAUUAGUGAGAUUCAUCUAGUAUUUUUUUUGCGAAGCAUGCAAUGGUUUGGAAUACUUGAUCAUGACCUGAUGAAACCUACAUGUCGUUAGCAUGUAUAUAUAUUAAAUGCAUUAAAUCUGGUUAAAUGCAUUCUACUACAACAGCCAGAAGCAAU
rnacentral:lncRNA from 1 species